rnacentral:rRNA from 1 species
AUGGAGGCAACAACUAAUAAUUUGGAUUCUCUUCAGCGUGUUCUCUCUGACCAUAUGAACAAUAAAAGGUUAUUGAUAGUCCUUGAUGACAUGUGGGAUGAUGCCUUGAAGGAAAAUGGGCAGUGUUGGAAGAGGUUUUGUGCACCUUUUACAAGUGACCAAGAGGGUUCUAACAAUGAUCCUGAGUUAGAGCGCAUUGGUAGAAGAAUACUUCCUAAAUUGAAGGGUUCUCCUUUGGCCGCCAGAACUCUAGGAUGCAUGUUACGCAUGGAUCUUGAAGCAUCACAUUGGAAUUUUAUACUUGAGAGUGAACUGUGGGAAUUGAGACAAGAGGAAGCUGACAUUUUGCCUGCCCUUUGGUCGAGCUACAUUUAUUUACCACUCUAUCUGAAGCAAUGCUUCGCAUUAUGUGCCGUGUACCCCAAAGAUUACAAAUUUGAGAAGGCAUGCUUAGCUGAAAUUUGGGUAGCAGAAGACUUUGUGGAACCUCAAGAUGGUGUUCCAAUUCAAGACAUUGGUUGUCACUAUUUCAAAGAUCUUGUAGCACGGUCCUUCUUUCAAAAGGUCCGUGGUGGAUACGUAAUCCAUGAUUUGUUGCAUGACAUGGCACAAAAUGUUUCAGAGCACGACUGCUUCAUAUUAAGAAAUAAGAGUGACUUUGAUAAAGUUCCCCAGAAUGUUCGUCAUCUGUAUGUACUCCCUAGCAAGGACUUUGAUGAUUCUAGCUUGCUGACACUAUGCAAGUACACAAAGUUGCGUACCCUAAUUUGUGAGAAGAAUUUAUAG